CUCCAGACUCCUACGGGAGGCAGCAGUGAGGAAUAUUGGUCAAUGGGCUUACGCCUGAACCAGCCAAGUCGCGUGAGGGAAGACUGUCCUAUGGGUUGUAAACCUCUUUUGUCAGGGAGCAAUUGGCGCUACGUGUAGCGUUAUCGAGAGUACCUGAAGAAAAAGCAUCGGCUAACUCCGUGCCAGCAGCCGCGGUAAUACGGAGGAUGCGAGCGUUAUCCGGAUUUAUUGGGUUUAAAGGGUGCGCAGGCGGAUUUUUAAGUCAGCGGUAAAAUCGUGGGGCUCAACCCCAUCCAGCCGUUGAAACUGGGGAUCUAGAGUGUGCGAGAGGUAUGCGGAAUGCGUGGUGUAGCGGUGAAAUGCAUAGAUAUCACGCAGAACCCCGAUUGCGAGGGCAGCCUUCCGGCGCCCUACUGACGCUGAGGCACGAAAGUGCGGGGAUCGAACAGGAUUAGAUACCCUUGUA
rnacentral:rRNA from 1 species